ACAACGGAUCUCUUGGUUCUCGCAUCGAUGAAGAACGCCAGCGAAA
rnacentral:rRNA from 1 species